rnacentral:tRNA from 1 species
GCCUGGGUGGCGAAACCGGUAGACGCAGGGGACUUAAAAUCCCUAGUCCACAUGGACGUGGGGGUUCGAGUCCCCCUCCAGGUACUA